CGACCGCGACCCCAGGUCAGGCGGGACUACC
rnacentral:rRNA from 1 species